CCUAGUAGCAGCCUGUAUUUCAGAGAAAGACAUCUUUAACUUGAGAUUCAAACUAGGAACAGGGAAGGAAUUGACAGUUGUUUCCGUUAUCAAACUGUGAGGCCUCCCUCCCCCAGGAGGAACAUCAUCCUUCAGAACCAAAGCUACAACAGGCUUAGCUUUCUUACGUCUCAAAACAAACAGGAACAAGAUUAUCAAAAGGGAAAUCAAAACCACACACCCAACUGGCAAACCAAUUACAAGAACAAGAUGUUUGCUUGGAUGUCCGAGAUGACCCAAAUUCAUGCGUGUGUUUGUCAAAAACUCCAUAAUCUCCACUCCAUUUAGAAAGGCUUUUUUCAUUUCUGAAUCAUUGUUAGGGACUAUACUGAAGUUUAUAUAUCCAGAAUCAUCAGAUUCAAUGACAUAAUCCGCAAAAAAUGGAGCUGCCAAAGUAGCGCCAUUAACUUCGGAAGAAUUAACGAGCUGGC
rnacentral:misc_RNA from 1 species